AGCGAACGCUGGCGGCAGGCCUAACACAUGCAAGUCGAACGAACUCUUCGGAGUUAGUGGCGGACGGGUGAGUAACACGUGGGAACGUGCCUUUAGGUUCGGAAUAACUCAGGGAAACUUGUGCUAAUACCGAAUGUGCCCUUCGGGGGAAAGAUUUAUCGCCUUUAGAGCGGCCCGCGUCUGAUUAGCUUGUUGGUGAG
rnacentral:rRNA from 1 species